rnacentral:rRNA from 1 species
AUUGAACGCUGGCGGAAUGCUUUACACAUGCAAGUCGAACGGCAGCACGGGUGCUUGCACCUGGUGGCGAGUGGCGAACGGGUGAGUAAUACAUCGGAACGUACCCAGUUAUGGGGGAUAACUAACCGAAAGGUUAGCUAAUACCGCAUACGCCCUGAGGGGGAAAGCGGGGGACCGUAAGGCCUCGCGUACUUGGAGCGGCCGAUGUCUGAUUAGCUAGUUGGUGAGGUAAAGGCUCACCAAGGCGACGAUCAGUAGCAGGUCUGAGAGGAUGAUCUGCCACACUGGAACUGAGACACGGUCCAGACUCCUACGGGAGGCAGCAGUGGGGAAUUUUGGACAAUGGGCGAAAGCCUGAUCCAGCCAUUCCGCGUGAGUGAAGAAGGCCUUCGGGUUGUAAAGCUCUUUCGGCAGGGAAGAAACGCUCUGGGAUAAUACUCCGGGGUAAUGACGGUACCUGAAGAAGAAGCACCGGCUAACUACGUGCCAGCAGCCGCCGUAA